UGAGUAACACGUGGGUAAUCUACCUUUUAGUGAGGAAUAACCGAGGGAAACUUUGGCUAAUACCGCAUAAGUCCGAGAGGAGAAAGUCGCAAGACGCUGAAAGAGGAGCCCGCGGCCGAUUAGCUAGUUGGUGGGGUAAGAGCCCACCAAGGCAGAGAUCGGUAGCCGGCCUGAGAGGGCACACGGCCACACUGGCACUGAAACACGGGCCAGACUCCUACGGGAGGCAGCAGUGGGGAAUCUUGCACAAUGGGGGAAACCCUGAUGCAGCGACGCCGCGUGAGCGAUGAAGCCCUUCGGGGUGUAAAGCUCUUUCGUCAGGGAAGAUAGUGACGGUACCUGGAGAAGCAGCUGCGGCUAACUACGUGCCAGCAGCCGCGGUAAUACGUAGGCAGCAAGCGUUGUUCGGAGUUACUGGGCGUAAAGGGUGUGUAGGCGGUUCUUUAAGUUUGGUGUGAAAUCUCCCGGCUCAACUGGGAGGGUGCGCCGAAUACUGAGGGACUAGAGUACGGGAGAGGAAAGUGGAAUUCCUGGUGUAGCGGUGAAAUGCGUAGAUAUCAGGAGGAACACCGGUGGUGUAGACGGCUUUCUGGACCGACACUGACGCUGAAACACGAAAGCGUGGGUAGCAAACAGGAUUAGAUACCCUGGUAG
rnacentral:rRNA from 1 species